GAUGAACGCUGGCGGCGUGCUUAACACAUGCAAGUCGAACGAUGAAGCCCAGCUUGCUGGGUGGAUUAGUUGCGAACGGGUGAGUAACACGUGAGCAACGUGCCCGAAACUCUGGAAUAACUACCGUAAACGGUGGCGAAUACUGGACAUGUGCCAUGUAGGAAUCCCCUGUGCUUGGAAAGAUUUCUCGGUUUCGGCUCGGCUUACGGCCUAUCAGCUUGUUGUUGGGGUAAUGGCCUACCAAGGCGUCGACGGGUAGCCGACCUGAGAGGGUGACCGGCCACACGGGGACUGAGACACGGACCAGAAUCCAACGGGACGCAGCGGUGGAGAGUAUUGCACAAUGAGCGCAAGCCAGAUGCAGCAACGCCGCGUGAGGGAUGACGGCCUACGGGUUGUAAACCUCUUUUAGUAGGGAAGAAGCGAAAGUGACGGUACCUGCAGAAAAAGCACCGGCUAACUACGUG
rnacentral:rRNA from 1 species